GUCACUGCGGCCGCGUGGAACACGCCGCGGCGCCCAAAGAGUUGCCAGGUGCUGUGGGCGGUGCCUCCUUUUGAGCCGACUGGGUCAAGAAACCAUGAAGGUUUGGAGAUUCUUUGGAGGACCUUGAAUAGGUGUUGAAUUUUGUAUCAAUGUUUGCAAGAAGAAAAGCAAAUGUUAUUUGUGGGCCUUCUGAAGCUGGAGCGUAAAAGGUGGACCACUGACAUCUAAGUCCCGGGGAGGGAAAAAAAACACAAGAAGAGAACGCCAGUUCAAGAUGAUGGAGUGAGCCACAGAAGGCCAAGAGUAGGAUACUUCUAAAUGGACCAAACGAUUAUUGGGAAAUGGAAACCGGCAUUGUUCUAAGCAUACCCUUCCCACAUAUCAGCUUCUACGGGGUUUCUGCCUUCUAUAGUCCUUGAACUGUUUUACACUGA